ACAUUUGGGAUGAGCAAAGAACCAGUCCUAUAUGUUCAAUGACCUGGGGAUUUGACAGUAUCAGUAGUGUUAAAUUUAACCCAAUUGAGACAUUUCUUUUGGGAAGCUGUGCUUCUGACAGGAAUAUAGUACUAUAUGAUAUGAGACAAUCUACUCCUCUGAAAAAGGUUAUCUUAGAUAUGAGAACAAAUAAAAUCUGUUGGAACCCUAUGGAAGCUUUCAUUUUUACUGAAGCAAAUGAAGAUUACAAUUUAUAUACUUUUGAUAUGUGUGCAUUGAACACGCCUGUGAUGGUUCAUAUGGAUCAUGUAUCUGCAGUACUUGAUGUGGAUUAUUCUCCCACUGGGAAGGAGUUUGUGUCUGCUAGUUUUGAUAAAUCUAUUCGAAUCUUUCCUUUGGACAAGAGUCGAAGCAGGGAAGUCUACCACAUAAAAAGAAUGCAACAUGUUAUUUGUGUAAAAUGGACCUCUGACAACAAGUAUAUUAUGUGUGGAUCUGAUGAAAUGAACAUUCGUCUGUGGAAAGCCAAUGCUUCUGAAAAAUUGGGUGUGCUUCCAUCACAAGAGAAAGCACCCAAGAAUUAUAACCAGAAGUUGAAGGAGAAAUUUCGAUAUCAUCCCCAUAUAAAACGUUUAGCUCGUCAUUGACACCUACCAAAAUCUAUCUACAGCUAGAUUCAGGAACAGGGUGUCAUGAAAGAAGUGCAUCGAUGAAAGGAAGUGAACCGUCUUAAACACAGCAAACCUGGAUCUGUACCAGUUGUGUUAGAGAAGAGGAAACACGUAGUGGCAGUUGUGAAAUAAUAUUUGAUAUUCCUAACAAUCCUGAUACAUAAUUAUCGGUUACUUUUGAUUUUGAUAACUCUACAAAUAAAAGUACUAGGUCUGGUUUUAU